ACGUAGAAUCAAAACAAUCACCAAUAAGGAACACAAGAAGCCGUAGGCGACAACGAAGACACUUUUCAUUUUUUGUUUUUUAAUUUUUUCAAUUUUAUUUUUACGCGUGU
rnacentral:ribozyme from 1 species